rnacentral:rRNA from 1 species
GAUGAACGCUGGCGACGUGCCUAAUACAUGCAAGUCGAGCGAAUGACGAGGAGCUUGCUCCUCUGAUUUAGCGGCGGACGGGUGAGUAACACGUGGGUAACCUGCCUGUAAGACGGGGAUAACUCCGGGAAACCGGAGCUAAUACCGGAUGAUAACGAGAAGCGCCUGCUUCUUUUUUGAAAGUCGGUUUCGGCUGACGCUUACAGAUGGGCCCGCGGCGCAUUAGCUAGUUGGUGAGGUAACGGCUCACCAAGGCGACGAUGCGUAGCCGACCUGGGAGGGUGAUGGGCCACACUGGGACUGAGGCACGGCCCAGACUCCUACGGGAGGCAGCAGUAGGGAAUCUUCGGCAAUGGACGAAAGUCUGACCGAGCAACGCCGCGUGAGCGAUGAAGGCCUUCGGGUCGUAAAGCUCUGUUGUCAGAGAAGAACAAGUACCGGAGUAACUGCCGGUACCUUGACGGUACCUGACCAGAAAGCCACGGCUAACUACGUGCCAGCCGCCGCCGCGGAAA